rnacentral:rRNA from 1 species
UACAUGGGGUGCAAACGUUGCUCGGAAUUAUUGGGCGUAAAGCGCACGUAGGCGGUUUGUUAAGUCGGAUGUGAAAUCCCUCGGCUCAACUGAGGAAGUGCAUCCGAAACUGGCAGGCUUGAGUACGAAAGAGGGUCGCGGAAUUCCCGGUGUAGAGGUGAAAUUCGUAGAUAUCGGGAGGAACACCGGUGGCGAAGGCGGCGACCUGGGUCGAUACUGACGCUGAGGUGCGAAAGCGUGGGGAGCGAACAGG